UGGGGAAUAUUGCACAAUGGGCGCAAGCCUGAUGCAGCCAUGCCGCGUGUAUGAAGAAGGCCUUCGGGUUGUAAAGUACUUUCAGUCGGGAGGAAGGUGGUAAGGUUAAUAACCUUAUCAAUUGACGUUACCGACAGAAGAAGCACCGGCUAACUCCGUGCCAGCAGCCGCGGUAAUACGGAGGGUGCAAGCGUUAAUCGGAAUUACUGGGCGUAAAGCGAACGCAGGCGGUUGAUUGAGUCAGAUGUGAAAUCCCCGGGCUUAACCCGGGAAUUGCAUCUGAUACUGGUCAGCUAGAGUCUUGUAGAGGGGGGUAGAAUUCCAUGUGUAGCGGUGAAAUGCGUAGAGAUGUGGAGGAAUACCGGUGGCGAAAGCGGCCCCCUGGACAAAGACUGACGCUCAGGUGCGAAAGCGUGGGGAGCAAACAGG
rnacentral:rRNA from 1 species